rnacentral:lncRNA from 1 species
AACGUGGGCAUUGCAGCGGUCAUGUUGUCAUUCUUUUUUGCCUUCAGAGUUGUCAGCAUUGACGCUGACAUUGGCACUACCAACGCACACCGUAAUGAUUUCAUUUCCAAUAAUUAAUCUUUUCCAUUUAACGAAAACAUUGUUCCUGAAGUGUAUGGAGAUGACUUCCUACAGCGUCGCUAACCCGGUGUCGGUGUUGGCACCACCAAUGCCAGGUUUUAAUCGUACAAAUUCAAUUAUUUGUUAUGCACAUUCACUAUUGAAUACAUGUGGUUUGACUAGGGUUUUGUUGGCACUUCCAAUGCUGGCAUUCCCAUCACUUACAUUGUGUUCUCAUGAUGCUUCGGGCCUUUUUCCUGGCGGGCCUUUAGGCGAGUGGUUCACGCUAACGAUUUCAAUAUACUGUUGCUAACCAUUUCAAUACACUGUUGCCACAUCUAUCUCGGGCGUUGGGGCUCC